GCCAUCGUUUUAUGUCCACCGAUAUAUUACAAAUCCAAGAUCGAAAUGAAUAUUUUUAUUCGAACGUGUUGUGAGUUCUAAGAGAGAAAAGAAAAAAAGAAAAAAAAGAAGGAGCGAGGGAAAGAUACUGAGGAAUAAAAAUAUCCAAAAUUGCAAUUACGAUAGAAGGGGAAUCGUGCGAGAGAAAAUAAAAGACUAGAAGAGAUAUUAGAAUGUAACACCGAAAUUGGGGGGAAAAAAUGGGAAAGAGACAAAGGUGAAGGAAGAUAACGAGCUUGACGACGAGAAGAAAAGAAAGCAAAGUGCGAACGCGAAGAAGGAGGAUAAAACGAGGAGAGUGGAGAACCGAGCGCAGCUAAAUCGCGAACCACUAUUUUCCUCUGGCUGAUUCUAACUUCUGAUCUCGAUUCGUCCACGCUUUCUCUCUUUCAGUUCUCCAUCUCGCUCUUCUUCUGUCUCUUCCUCUCCUUCGAUGCACACCAUCCAAAUAUAACGGCCACGCUAAUUCACGUCCAGCAGCCGUAGCCACCAAAAUAUGAAUCCACCUUAGACGCAAAUAUAGACGAAGGUAUUUCUGGAUCAGCCGAGAACAGCCAAUGAAGACUGGUGAGAGUCCUUGUCCACCGCUGCUUCAGAAUGCGAGAUACGAAUCAUGGAAGAUGAUCCCGAGAUAUCUGCCAAGUCAGCUGUCAAGAGGUACUAAGAUGUCUGGCCUCCUUUCUAAAAGCUGUUAAGUACUUACAAAGUUUCAGUAAGCUCGAUACGAUAACACUUGGUACGUUUCUAGUGAGAACGAUACUACUCGAUAAUGCACUUGGACGGAACGUUAGACACUCCACAUGGAAUGAGUAUAGGAGUAAUGUCAAAUUGACAGACACUAUUCCAAUGAACCCUCGAAGUGAACUGUUUCACUGGAGACUAAACUAAAGUCGACAAUAUAUCCUGCAGUAUAUCUUGUCUCUAUAGUUAGAUGCCUGCCGCCCCACCCAUCCUUUAGCAAGAAACCACGCAUCUCCUUCAUAAAAAAUUAAUGAUACAUAAUGCAACUUUAUUGCACAAUUGUUCAAGAUGGCAGAUUCUACCAUUUGGCAUAAGUUCUAUUCUGUCUUCAAUUAACCACUGUUUUCGUUACAGAAAAUAAGUACGUGGUCGAAUAGUCUGAAACACUUGAAGAACCUGUGCCGUUCAAUAUUUUAUAUAUCACAUGUUAAAAAAUAUGUGAAAUGCAAACUAUAAGAUUGCACUGAAGUCAAUGAUAGGAAGAAUAAUUGUUGCGAUUCGUGCUCGAAACUAAGCAAUUAUAAUUUGAAGUAGUUUUCUCGAUCGUCCCUUCAAAAAGGAUAAUAGAAGAUUCAAUCGAUUUUGACUGACAACGCGUAAGAAUUUUAGCGAUCUCAGGGGCACGCGUUAGGAUACCUUAGGGUACGUCUCACACUUGCGAUUAUCUUAUACAUUCGUUUAUUUAGAUCUAUAAAUAAAAUUUCAAAUCGUUCGAUGCUUCACAACACUUUCACUACUUAAAUCCAGGCGAUGAAGCGAUGAAACGAUAAAACUACGUUUUAUACUAGACACAGAGUAAACUUCAAAACAUUCUAAAGAUAGAAUACACAAACAUAAUCCGUAUUCUGUUGUAAGAGCAUCGAAUAAAAUCAUGAAAUAUUCAUUCGAUUUCUAGCAAUGAAUUCGAGCUUUGCGGAUUAUUAAGCUCACACUGUUUAUAGAAAUUUGCAAUUUAAUUCAAUUGGCUGUUAAAGUUCCUUUAUGUUUCUGUUGGAUACGCGCACCUGUUGUGCUUCUUCGAUAGCAGCAACAGAGUCGGGAUAUCUCGCUUUAUAUGCGAGCAAAACUUAAACGAUUACUAAUUCAUGAUUCUUCGUGAAAGAAAUUCAAACAACGGUACACUUUACCAAAUCUUUUUGUGUAAAAUUGUCCUCAUAAGACCGCUCAUGCUCGUUAUGUUUUUACUAAAUGAAUUAUUUUUAUGGUAUAUGAUGUUAAUAUUAUUAUAGCCUUGUAGUAAUGCGAUUAUGUGCAUGAACAUAUUUUAUAUACGUAAGAGGUUCUAAUCUGUAAUCGUGCGAAAUAAAAAUAAGAAUGAAAUAAUGGAAAAUAAUCGAUUGGAAAGCUGAUGGAAAUAGAAGAAGUAAUGACUUACUGUGAACGUGUAAAACCCUUCAGGUAUCGGUUGACCACCAAACUUAAUGCUGAGGGUGUAAUCGCCGGCAUCCGCCACAGUAUAAUAAA